rnacentral:tRNA from 1 species
AGCCCCGUAGUCUAGUGGCCAAUGCUUUCGAGAGCCAUUCUCGAAUGGCGGCUUGGGAUACCAGGCUCUGGACCUGGAGACUGCGGUUCGAAUCCGCACGGGGCUA